rnacentral:rRNA from 1 species
AGCGAACGCUGGCGGCAGGCCUAACACAUGCAAGUCGAACGGACCUUUCGGGGUUAGUGGCGGACGGGUGAGUAACACGUGGGAACGUGCCUUUAGGUUCGGAAUAGCUCCUGGAAACGGGUGGUAAUGCCGAAUGUGCCCUUCGGGGGAAAGAUUUAUCGCCUUUAGAGCGGCCCGCGUCUGAUUAGCUAGUUGGUUGAGGUAACGGCUCACCAAGGCGACGAUCAGUAGCUGGUCUGAGAGGAUGGCCAGCCACAUUGGGACUGAGACACGGCCCAAACUCCUACGGGAGGCAGCAGUGGGGAAUCUUGCGCAAUGGGCGAAAGCCUGACGCAGCCAUGCCGCGUGAAUGAUGAAGGUCUUAGGAUUGUAAAUUCUUUCACCGGGGACGAUAAUGACGGUACCCGGAGAAGAAGCCCCGGCUAACUUCGUG